CUAACUCCGUGCCAGCAGCCGCGGUAAUACGGAGGAUGCAAGCGUAUCCCGGAUUUAUUGGGUUUAAAGGGUGCGUAGGCGGUUGGAUAAGUCAGCGGUGAAAGUUUUCUGCUUAACAGGAAAAAUGCCGUUGAUACUGUCUGGCUAGAAUAUGGUUGCUGUGAGUGGAAUGUGUGGUGUAGCGGUGAAAUGCUUAGAUAUCACACAGAAUAUCGAUUGCGAAGGCAGCUCACGAAGCCAUUAUUGACGCUGAGGCACGAAAGUGUGGGGAUCAAACAGGAUUAGAUACCCUGGUAGUCCACACUGUAAACGAUGAUAACUCGCUGUCGGCGAUACACAGUCGGUGGCCAAGCGAAAGCGAUAAGUUAUCCACCUGGGGAGUACGACCGCAAGGUUGAAACUCAAAGGAAUUGACGGGGGCCCGCACAAGCGGAGGAACAUGUGGUUUAAUUCGAUGAUACGCGAGGAACCUUACCCGGGCUCGAACGGCUUUAGAAUAUAUCAGAGAUGGUAUAGCCAGCAAUGGCUGAAGUCGAGGUGCUGCAUGGUUGUCGUCAGCUCGUGCCGUGAGGUGUCGGCUUAAGUGCCAUAACGAGCGCAACCCUUGUCGUUAGUUACCACCAGGUCAUGCUGGGGACUCUAACGAGACUGCCACCGUAAGGUGUGAGGAAGGGGGGGAUGACGUCAAAUCAGCACGGCCCUUACGUCCGGGGCGACACACGUGUUACAAUGGUAGGUACAGAGGGCAGCUACCCAGUGAUGGGAUGCGAAUCUCUAAAGCCUAUCUCAGUUCGGAUUGGAGUCUGCAACUCGACUCCAUGAAGUUGGAUUCGCUAGUAAUCGCGCAUCAGCCAUGGCGCGGUGAAUACGUUCCCGGGCCUUGUACACACCGCCCGUCAAGCCAUGGAAGCUGGGGGUGCCUGAAGUUCGUGACCGCAAGGAGCGACCUAGGGCAAAACUAGUAACUGGGGCUAAGUCGUAACAAGGUAACCAAU
rnacentral:rRNA from 1 species